rnacentral:lncRNA from 1 species
CUUUUCGAGGUAGGAGUCGACUCCUGUGAGGUAUGGUGCUGGGUGCAGAUGCAGUGUGGCUCUGGAUAGCACCUUAUGGACAGUUGUGUCCCCAAGGAAGGAUGAGAAUAGCUACUGAAGUCCUAAAGAGCAAGCCUAACUCAAGCCAUUGGCACACAGGCAUUAGACAGAAAGCUGGAAGUUGAAAUGGUGGAGUCCAACUUGCCUGGACCAGCUUAAUGGUUCUGCUCCUGGUAACGUUUUUAUCCAUGGAUGACUUGCUUGGGUAUGGAGAGUCGGCUUGACUACACUGUGUGGAGCAAGUUUUAAAGAAGCAAAGGACUCAGAAUUCAUGAUUGAAGAAAUGCAGGCAGACCUGUUAUCCUAAACUAGGGUUUUUAAUGACCACAACAAGCAAGCAUGCAGCUUACUGCUUGAAAGUCUUGUCUUAUUUUUUGAGACAGGGUCUUGCCUCACCCAAGCUAGAGUGCAGUGGCCUUUGAAGCUUACUACAGCCUCAAACUUCUGGGCUCAAGUGAUCCUCAGCCUCCCAGUGGUCUUUGUAGACUGCCUGAUGGAGUCUCAUGGCACAAGAAGAUUAAAACAGUGUCUCCAAUUUUAAUAAAUUUUUGCAAUCCA